rnacentral:rRNA from 1 species
AAUGUCAUUGAUUUUCUCCCCUCUGAUGAAUCAUGAUGUCAUUAAUUUGAUGUUGUGGGGAGUCAGGACUGUUACUUUGAAAAAAUUAGAGUGUUUAAAGCAAGCACGCGCUUGAAUACAUUAGCAUGGAAUAAUGAAAUAGGACGUUCGAUUCUAUUUUGUUGGUUUCUAGGAUCAACGUAAUGAUUAAUAGGGAUAGUUGGGGGCAUUAGUAUUCAAUUGUCAGAGGUGAAAUUCUUGGAUUUAUUGAAGACUAACUACUGCGAAAGCAUUUGCCAAGGAUGUUUUCAUUAAUCAAGAACGAAAGUUAGGGGAUCGAAGACGAUCAGAUACCGUCGUAGUCUUAACCAUAAACUAUGCCGACUAGGGAUCGGAUGAUGUUAAUUUUUUAAUGACUCAUUCGGCGCCUUA